UGAAUAAGAGGGACCAGACUUUAGGGUCAGUGAAUCACCAUAACGGUUCUCCUGCCUUUCCAUCUCUAAAUGUCACGGAGGGGAGCACAGCUCAGAGAGGAUCAGAGGGAGAAGAAGUAGCCACGCGGGCAUUUCACAUUUUUUCGGCUGUGCUUGGUGACAAUGAUUUGCUGAAGGUAGCCAGCAUGGAGUGUGAGAUAAAUCCUCAAGAAAUGCAAUCUCAUUUUCAAAGAUUCAAUGAGAGCUGAUUUAUUAAAUAUUAGUGCCCCGCCCGGGCAUGGUGGCUCACGCCUGUAAUCCCAGCACUUUGGAAGGCCGAGGCGGGUGGAUCAUGAGGUCAAGACAUCGAGACCAUCCUGGUCAACAUGGUGAAACCCCGUCUUUACUACAAAUACAAAAAAUUAGCUGGGCAUGGUGGCACGUGCCUAUAAUCCCAGCUACUCAGGAGGCUGGCAGGGGAAUUGCCUGAACCCAGGAGGCAGAGGUUGCGGUGAGCUGGGAUCACGCCAUUGCACUCCAACCUGGGUAACAAGACAGAAACUCUGUCUCAAAAAAAAAAAAAAUUAGUACCCCUUAGAAUUUUUGUAAGGAGCAGAAUCAAGAUUUUAGGAAAAUUGCAAGUUUUCUUUGGUGUCUCAUCUGUAAAAUCUUGUUGCUGGAUAGAUUAGUAUUUUUUAAAUUGUAAUAAUGUAGAAAUUUGACACUUUUUGGUGAAAUACAUUCUGUCAUUGAAAAAAAUAUGAUAAGGUUUUCCAUUAGAAAAAUGGAUUAAGAAUAAACUUCAACUAUAAAACUGGAAUAAUGAUAAAGUUUUCAAUUAGAACAGAACUAUUAAUGCACAUGAUUUUAAAAUUUGAUUUUUAAAAUUUCUUAUAAAGAUGAAAACAAAAGGUAGAAAAAGAAACAGAUUAGGAUCCAGGGUUUUUAACUUUCUCCCCCUACCGCCCAUCGAUAAGGAGCCUAAGCAGGUGACAAAGACUUUAAAAAUCCAAAACAGUAUGUGAAAGCCUGGCAAGAAAUCAGACAGCACCAUGCUUUUUCUGAAAUACAUGUGGGAACCUCAAGUUUCUAGGAGAACACCUACUUGUAGCCAGUGCAGUUUCGUGCUGGCUGAUGCCCCAAGUCUUUAUUGGCCCAUCUGUGGAAAGCAGUUGGACAAUGAGCAAGGAGCAGCAUCCUGUCUUCCCAGGGCUUGGAUGUAUCAUUUGGGAGACCCAGAUGACCCCAUGAAGGUUUUGAAAGCAGGGAGUGAAGACUAAGGGUCCCUAAAUAUGAAGUACUUCUGGACUCAGAGUCAGAACCAUGGACUCCUGGAGGUGCUUGCAUAGUACUUCUCAAAGGUGUU